AGGGUGGUAGCUCAACGGCAGAGCGGUGGUUUCCAAGUCCACGACCGCGGGGGUUCGACUCCCUCCCACCCUG
rnacentral:tRNA from 1 species